CACGACGUGCACAUCGUCGCCUUCGGUCGCGACUUUUUAUAUUUCUUUUCGACAUUUAUUCGACAUUUAAACAUUAAAUUGUACGAGAGAAUGCAGCGGGGUAAUUAUUUGAAAGAAGAGACUACAUCGUUUCUCGGGAAUUAAUUAUGUCACGGUGUCGGGAAUUGCGCAAGUAUGAAAAUUCGUUAUUCGGAAAUUAAUUUUGUCACGGUCGGAAAUUGCGCUAAUAUGAAAAUUUACAUAACUGAAGCGAUCUGAAGUGGUAAGCGCGUCGCUAGCACGAUCGGGAAUCGCGCGCGCAUUACAUAUAUUCGGCCGGUCCGUUUCCGGUGUGUUCCGCCGGUUCGGGGAGCGCGCGCGGCAGCACCGCCGCCGCCGCCGACCCGGCGUGUCACGCCACCGUCGUCGCCACCAGCUGUGCCGUGUGCCGUGUCGGUCGCGCCAUUCCGGUCCGUUCCGCUGGCGACUGCUACAGAAAGCAACAUGGCGCCCGUCUGUUUGCGGAUACCUCUGCGACGGAUAUAAAUACGCGAAAAGAGAAAAAAAGAGAGAGAAAACAGUGCCGCGAGAAACCGUUACGGACGAUCGAGGGAUCGGUGACGAUCGGUUGUGAUACGCGGGUCCGGUCGACGUCGCCAGGCAUCGCGAUAAGGUUGCGCGAACGCGUCUGCCUUGUCCCCCGUUGUCGUCGUAGCAAAGCGGAGCGGCGCGCGAAACCCUCCGAAGGCGGCUGAAUUCUUGGUAAUUCGUCGCGGCUCCGGAGGCGGCUCCCGCGAACGGUGCCCACCUGAGGAAUGCCAGAUCGGCCGCGCUUCCACCCGGCAGCGGAUCGACGGAUCGGCAGUGCGACGCGUCGCGAACGUGUGUGAGCGAGUCGUGACAAAAAA